UUUAAGUUUCUCUGGUUGAUCCUGCCGGCGAUCACCGCUAUUGGAAUCCGCUUAAGACAUGCGAGUCGAGAGGGUUUAGACCCUCGGCAUACUGCUCAGUAACACACGGAUAAUCUACCCUAAGGUGGGGCAUAACCUCGGGAAACUGAGGAUAAUACCCCAUAGAUCAUGGAUGCUGGAAUGCUUCAUGGUCCAAAGUUCCGGCGCCUUAGGAUGAGUCUGCGGCCUAUCAGGUUGUAGUGGGUGUAACGGACCCACUAGCCUACGACGGGUACGGGCGUUGGGAGACGUCGCCCGGAGUUGGAUUCUGAGACACGAAUCCAGGCCCUACGGGGCGCAGCAGUCGCGAAAACUUGUCAAUGAGGGAAACCUCGAACAGGGGAGUCCAAGUGCAUGCGUUUUACGUAUGCUGUUCAGUUGUCUAAAAAACAGCCGAAGUAAGGGCUGGGUAAGACAGGUGCCAGCCGCCGCGGUAAUACCUGCAGCCCAAGUGGUGACCAUUAUUAUUGAGCCUAAAGCGUCCGUAGCCGGUUUGGUAAAUCCUCGGGUAAAUCGAGCAGCUUAACUGUUCGAACACCGGGGAGACUGCCAGACUUGGGACCGGGAGAGGUCAGAGGUACUUCAGGGGUAGUGGCUAAAUCCUGUAAUCCUUGAAGGACCACCAGUGGCGAAGGCGUCUGACUAGAACGGAUCCGACGGUAAGGGACGAAACCCUGGGGCGCAAACCGGAUUAGAUACCCGGGUAGUCCAGGGCGUAAACGCUGCAGGCUUGGUGUUGGGGACCCUACGGGGGUGCUCAGUGCCGGAGUGAAGAUGUUAAGCCUGCCGCUUGGGGAGUACGUCCGCAAGGAUGAAACUUA
rnacentral:rRNA from 1 species